rnacentral:rRNA from 1 species
CGGAGGAUCCGAGCGUUAUCCGGAUUUAUUGGGUUUAAAGGGUGCGCAGGCGGAAGAUUAAGUCGGUGGUGAAAUUUUGCAGCUCAACUGUAAAAGUGCCAUUGAUACUGGUUUUCUUGAGUGUGGAUGAAGUAGGCGGAAUUUGUGGUGUAGCGGUGAAAUGCAUAGAUAUCACGAGGAACUCCGAUUGCGCAAGCAGCUUACUAAACCAUAACUGACGCUCAGGCACGAAGGCGUGGGGAUCAAACAGGAUUAGAUA